UACGUAGGUGGCGAGCGUUGUCCGGAUUUACUGGGCGUAAAGAGCGCGCAGGCGGUCGUCCAAGUCGCGUGUGAAAGCCCCCGGCUCAACUGGGGAGGGUCACGCGAUACUGAUCGACUCGAAGGCAGGAGAGGCGAGUGGAAUUCCGAGUGUAGAGGUGAAAUUCGUAGAUAUUCGGAAGAACACCAGUGGCGAAGGCGACUCGCUGGACAGACAUUGACGCUGAGGUGCGAAAGCGUGGGGAGCAAACAGG
rnacentral:rRNA from 1 species